GACGUAGGGCGCGAGCGUUGUCCGGAUUUAUUGGGCGUAAAGAGCUCGUAGGCGGCUUGUCGCGUCGUUCGUGAAAACCCGGGGCUCAACUCCGGGCUUGCGGGCGAUACGGGCAGGCUAGAGUUCGGUAGGGGAGACUGGAAUUCCUGGUGUAGCGGUGAAAUGCGCAGAUAUCAGGAGGAACACCAAUGGCGAAGGCAGAUCUCUGGGCCGUAACUGACGCUGAGGAGCGAAAGCAUGGGGAGCGAACAGG
rnacentral:rRNA from 1 species